UUAAUGAGGCGAACCGGGGGAACUGAAACAUCUAAGUACCCCGAGGAAAAGAAAUCAACCGAGAUUCCCCCAGUAGCGGCGAGCGAACGGGGAGGAGCCCAGAGCCUGAAUCAGCAUGUGUGUUAGUGGAAGCGUCUGGAAAGGCGCGCGAUACAGGGUGACAGCCCCGUACACAAAAGCGCAUGUGCUGUGAGCUCGAUGAGUAGGGCGGGACACGUGGUAUCCUGUCUGAAUAUGGGGGGACCAUCCUCCAAGGCUAAAUACUCCUGACUGACCGAUAGUGAACCAGUACCGUGAGGGAAAGGCGAAAAGAACCCCGGCGAGGGGAGUGAAAAAGAACCUGAAACCGUGUACGUACAAGCAGUGGGAGCACCCUUCGGGG
rnacentral:rRNA from 1 species